ensembl:lncRNA
CCAAAAAGGGGACUUUUGGACCCCAAAAUGGCCCUUUUGGACCCCAAAAUGGGACUUUUAGACCCAAAAAUGGGACUUCUGACCCCAAAAAGGGGACUUUGGGACCCAAAAAGGGGACUUUGGGACCCAAAAAUGGGCUUUUUGGACCCAAAAAGGGGAUUCCGGGAGCCAAAAAAGGGGAUUUCUGGCCCCAAAAAUGGGACUCCGAGAGCCAAAAAAGGGACUAUGGGGCCCAAAAAUGGGAUUUCUGGCCCCAAAAUGGGACUUUGAGACCCAAAAAUGGGACUUCGGGACCCCAAAAAUGGCCCUUUUGGACCCCAAAAUGGAACUUUUAGACCCAAAAAUGGCCCUUUUGGACCCAAAAAUAAGACUUCUGGACCCAAAAAAGGGGAUUUCUGGUCCCAAAAAUGGGACUUUUGGCCCCAAAAAUGGGACUUUCUGGCCCCAAAAAUGGCACUUUUGGACCCAAAAAUGGCACUUUUGGACCCAAAAAUGGCCCUUUUGGACCCCAAAAUGGGAAUCCAGGACCCAAAAAGGGGACUUCUGGACCCAAAAAGAGGAUUUGUGGCCCCAAAAAUGGCCCUUUUAGAACCAAAAUGGGAUUCCGGGACCCAAAAAUGGGGUUUGUAGGAAAAAAAAUGGCACUUUUUGAGCCCAAAAUGGGAUUUUUUGACCCCAAAAAUGGGAUUUGGAGACUAAAAAAUGGGACUUUCAGCCCCAAAAAUGGGGCUUUUUUAACCCAAAAAUGGGACUUUUAAGCCCUGAAAUGGCACUUUUUAACCCCAAAAUGGGAUUUCCGGAUACAAAAAUGGGAAAUUUUAACAAAAAAAAUGCGAUUUUAACACAAAAAUGACCCCAAAAAGGAGCGAUUUUACCCCAAAAUUUAAAGGCCCCAAAACAGACCCAAAAAGGCACAAAUUUGACCCCAAAAUGGCUCAAAUGGACCCCAAAUGGCUCCAAUUUGUGCGCUUAGAACAAAAAAUGGCACUUCUGACCCAAAAUGCCCCAAAAAAGGGCGAUUUUAGCCCAAAUUUCACAGCCCCCCAGACAGCCCUCAAAUCCCA